rnacentral:rRNA from 1 species
GUGCCAGCCGCCGCGGUAAUACAGAGGGUGCGAGCGUUAAUCGGAAUUACUGGGCGUAAAGCGCACGUAGGCGGCUUGGUAAGUUGGAUGUGAAAUCCCCGGGCUUAACUUGGGAAUUGCAUUCAAGACUGCCUUGCUCGAGUGUGGGAGAGGGAAGCGGAAUUCCAGGUGUAGCGGUGAAAUGCGUAGAUAUCUGGAGGAACAUCAGUGGCGAAGGCGGCUUUCUGGCCCAACACUGACGCUGAGGUGCGAAAGCGUGGGGAGCAAACAGGAUUAGAUACCCGUGUAGUCC